AACAUCAGAAUCCCACUAUACAUUCCUUAAAAAACACUUUUUUUCUCCCCUCAAUUCUUUCUUUUGUCCAUUAAGGUAUUGGAAUCCAGCAAAAUCUCAUGAUUCUUUGAUUCUUUAUAUGUUUAUGGUGCUCAUAAGUCAUAGUUUCCAAUAGUAUAUGGCCAAGUCAAACUGUUUCAGCGUCACUGCAUCUAGAAGCUGGUUCCUCAAAUACUCUUUUUCAAACUCAGGUUUAAAAUCUUCCACCACAGAUUUAGGCAAUGGUACUAUAAUCCACUGCUGGAUACCCAAAACCCAUAAAGAAAAAAAGCCCUCUUUGGUCCUCAUACAUGGGAUUGGAGCUAAUGCUAUGUGGCAAUGGAGUGAGUUCAUCAAACCCUUAUCAUCAAGAUUCAAUCUUUAUGUCCCUGACUUGUUGUUUUUUGGUGAAUCUUACACUUCUAGGCCAGAAAGAACUGAAUCUUUUCAGGCUGAGUGUGUUAUGAGGACUAUGGAGGGUUAUGGGGUUAAGAAAAUGGAUGUUGUAGGGUUGAGUUAUGGUGGUUUUGUGGGGUAUAGUAUGGCUGUUCAGUUUCCUGAGGUAGUGGAGAAACUGGUUCUUGUGUGUUGUGGUGUUUGUUUUGAGGAAAAAGAUAUGGAGAAUAGGAUGUUUCAAGUGAAGAGUGUUGAUGAGGCUGUUGCAGUUUUGUUGCCACAGAGUCCUGAAAAGUUGAGAGAGUUGGUGAAAUUGUCUUUUUACAAGCCUAUCAAGAAUCUUCCUUCUUGUUUUCUCAUGAUUUUAUUGAUGUGAUGUGCACAGUCAAUCAUCAAGAAAGAAAGGAGUUGAUCGAAACAUUACACUAUAACAGAAAGCUCUCUGAUCUUCCUAAGAUUACUCAGCCUACGUUGAUAAUAUGGGGAGAAUAUGAUCAGAUACUCCCACUAGAAUUGGCUCACAGAUUAAAAAGGCAUUUAAGUGAGAACGCGGAACUUGUUAUAAUAAAGGAUGCAGGACAUGCAAUUAACAUGGAGAAACCGAAGGAGCUUUUCAAACACUUGAAGUCAUUCCUUCUUGAUUCGCGCCCUCAUACUAAACACGACAGUAAUGGCAACAGCCACAAGCUGGAUUAAAACGCGUGAAGACGACAUUACAUUGGAGGACUUUCCUGGUAAUUUGGCUGAAUCUCUUGGUUAUCUACCUUCAUUGCAUUUAUUUGUCACUUGGUUCUUGCAAUCUCUCGGUGCAUAUUCAUGAGCACCUGCACAGAGUAUUUGUUCUUUGAAGGUAGUUCCCUGAACCGAACAAUACGAUCCUGGAUAUUCUCCUUUCCAUCACUAACUUAUUUAGGCUCAGAGUUUCAAGUUGCAAGGUCCUCUUCCUGAGUCGAUUCAAAACCUUAUGAACCUAACGCAACUUGAUCUUAAGUUACAUUUACGAAACCCCAAUCAUGGGUAGAGGACUCUGCAGUCAGUUAAAACUCGGUCUAAAUAACUUAGUGAUGGAAGGGAGAAUAUCCAGGAUGGUAUUGUUCCGUUCAGGGAGUAACCUUUAAUGAACGAAUACUCUGUGUGGGUGAGAUUCGAAAGAGAUUCAAGAAUAGACCCUGAGAGAUUGGAAGAAUCAAGCGAGAAAUAAUGCAAUGAAGUUAGAUAGCCAAGAGAUCCAGGCAAAUGA